CCAGAGUGGAUCCUGAGUACGGCGGAACACGUGAAAUUCCGUCGGAAUCCGGGAGGACCAUCUCCCAAGGCUAAAUACUCCCUAGUGACCGAUAGUGAACCAGUACCGUGAGGGAAAGGUGAAAAGCACCCCGGAAGGGGAGUGAAACAGUUCCUGAAACCGUGUGCCUACAAGUAGUUAGAGCCCGUUAAUGGGUGAUAGCGUGCCUUUUGUAGAAUGAACCGGCGAGUUACGAUUUGUUGCAAGGUUAAGCGGAAAAAGCGGAGCCGUAGCGAAAGCGAGUCUGAAUAGGGCGCAUAAGUAACAGGUCGUAGACCCGAAACCAGGUGAUCUACCCAUGUCCAGGAUGAAGGUAAGGUAAUACUUACUGGAGGUCCGAACCCACGCACGUUGAAAAGUGCGGGGAUGAGGUGUGGGUAGCGGAGAAAUUCCAAUCGAACUUGGAGAUAGCUGGUUCUCUCCGAAAUAGCUUUAGGGCUAGCCUCGAGGUAAAGAGUCAUGGAGGUAGAGCACUGUUUGGACUAGGGGCCCUUCUCGGGUUACCGAAUUCAGAUAAACUCCGAAUGCCAUGUACUUAUACUCGGGAGUCAGACUGCGAGUGAUAAGAUCCGUAGUCGAAAGGGAAACAGCCCAGACCACCAGUUAAGGUCCCCAAAUAUAUGUUAAGUGGAAAAGGAUGUGGGGUUGCUUAGACAACCAGGAUGUUGGCUUAGAAGCAGCCACCAUUGAAAGAGUGCGUAAUAGCUCACUGGUCGAGUGACCCCGCGCCGAAAAUGUACCGGGGCUAAACAUAUUACCGAAACUGUGGAUGAACCUCUUUAGAGGUUCGUGGUAGGAGAGCGUUCUAAGGGCGGUGAAGUCAGACCGGAAGGACUGGUGGAGCGCUUAGAAGUGAGAAUGCCGGUAUGAGUAGCGAAAGAAGGGUGAGAAUCCCUUCCACCGAAUAUCUAAGGUUUCCUGAGGAAGGCUCGUCCGCUCAGGGUUAGUCGGGACCUAAGCCGAGGCCGAUAGGCGUAGGCGAUGGACAACAGGUAGAGAUUCCUGUACCAGUGCUAAUUGUUUAACCGAUGGGGUGACACAGAAGGAUAGGGAAUCGCACGAAUGGAAAUGUGCGUCCAAGCAGUGAGUGUGAGAAGUAGGCAAAUCCGCUUCUCGCGAAGCAUGAGCUGUGAUGGGGAAGGAAAUUAAGUACGGAAGUUCCUGAUUUCACGCUGUCAAGAAAAGCCUCUAGGAAGAGUA
rnacentral:rRNA from 1 species